AUUGAACGCUGGCGGCAGGCUUAACACAUGCAAGUCGAGCGGGGUGAUGGUGCUUGCACUAUCACUUAGCGGCGGACGGGUGAGUAAUGCUUAGGAAUCUGCCUAUUAGUGGGGGACAACAUCUCGAAAGGGAUGCUAAUACCGCAUACGUCCUACGGGAGAAAGCAGGGGAUCACUUGUGACCUUGCGCUAAUAGGUGAGCCUAAGUCGGAUUAGCUAGUUGGUGGGGUAAAGGCCUACCAAGGCGACGAUCUGUAGCGGGUCUGAGAGGAUGAUCCGCCACACCGGGACUGAGACACGGCCCAGACUCCUACGGGAGGCAGCAGUGGGGAAUAUUGGACAAUGGGGGGAACCCUGAUCCAGCCAUGCCGCGUGUGUGAAGAAGGCCUUAUGGUUGUAAAGCACUUUAAGCGAGGAGGGGGCUCUUUUGGUUAAUACCCAAGAUGAGUGGACGUUACUCGCAGAAUAAGCACCGGCUAACUCUGUGCCAGCCGCCGCAGUAA
rnacentral:rRNA from 1 species